UUGCCUCUUCUGCUGACGUGGACAUGAUUCAGCUCCAACUUAAAUUGCAGGGCUGUGUUUGAGUGCAGGUAAAUGCAGGUCCAUUAGCAUAUGCCAGGGCUGUCUUAAAUGACAGUCAAACUAGCAAGUAUCUACCCAAAAAAGUAAAUGAGUUGAAAGACAUGUUUAGAUAAUACAAGAAGACCCGAUGCAUCCUCCCUGGAUGAGCAACACAUUACGUGUAUUUUGUGCAAUUAGUGGUACGUCAAGUGACUGAAGCUAUGGUUCCCCAAGAUACACUGCUGAAAUAUGAGGACAUGCAGAUGUCAAGUGACAACAAGACUGAACUUCUCAGGAAUAUUUGGAGCUGUGCAAAUGUUAGAAAUUUAAAGAUUUGUUAUACACAGAGUAUUUCUUCCUGACACCAAAACUUUCAUGCUUUCAUACAGGGUGCUUACAUAUUUGUAAAUAUUUAAGCAACUUGAAAGUGCCUGGAAAAUUGCACCACUGUGCUUAGUUUGUACUUUUUAAGGUAAAUCUAUAUACUGAGAAGUAGAGCUCAAAAACUUUCAUUUGAUUUGCUUAAUUGUUACUUAAAAUAUUAAUGGUACUGUGUAAAAUGGUAUAACGGCAGUCAAUAAAAGGUAAAACUUCUUUGUAAUUAGAAGUGAAGGAAAUAA